rnacentral:rRNA from 1 species
UACGAAGGGGGCUAGCGUUGUUCGGAAUUACUGGGCGUAAAGGGCGCGUAGGCGGCGUGUCAAGUCAGGCGUGAAAGCCCCGGGCUCAACCUGGGAACCGCGCUUGAGACUGGCAUGCUCGAGUUCGGGAGAGGAUGGUGGAAUUCCCAGUGUAGAGGUGAAAUUCGUAGAUAUUGGGAAGAACACCGAUGGCGAAGGCAGCCAUCUGGACCGACACUGACGCUGAGGCGCGAAAGCGUGGGGAGCAAACGGG